AUGGGCCUCUUGCGAACACAGUCCCCCGUUUACCUUGGUCCUUUGCUUAACUCGCCUGUUACCUAGAUAGAUGGUUAGGGUUACCAACACAGACUGAUUCAAUGGCUACACGACUCGUGCAAGCACAAACAGAGACUCACAUCUGUCCGUGGCUCUAAAGUAAUGUUUCUUGUAAGGUUACGUAUAGAACCCGACAACCGUGUUAGACUGGACUGAAUAUCAUUUACAAACAUUUAACAAGUUUGAAAGGUAGUUAAACGUGGAUUUGUUUGGUCGCUGUUCUUUUUUCAACGAGCUCCUCCUGUGAGCUCUCGCUGGGCAAAGAAGCCAAGCUGUCUAUCUAGAAAGUGUAUGGCGCGAUACGGUGAAGUGCAAACACUAUUUAGCUAGGACUCGCUUAGCGGUCUGAAGUUUGUUGAAAUUAUAAAGGUUUUCUGGAUGAGUUUGGCAUACUAUUUAAUUCUAUGCUAUGAUAUCAGCAAUGCUCACAUAUAUAACACUGGCAAAAACUGUCAAUCCUACUAUAGUGUAAAAUAAUUAGACUAGCUAGCAAGCAAGGUAGUUUCCUGUCUGUUAGUGAACUUACAAUCCGCAUGUGUCAUUGCCAGCUGGCUGGCUAAGUUGGGAAAGUUCGUUAACUUCAGUAGCUUUAAUUUUAAGCUAGUCAAAUUACAAAAUGAACUAAUGUUAGCUAACUGGCCAUCUAUAUUUUGAAUGUUUUAACGUUAGACAACUAGAUAGCCAGCUUGCUCCCAAGUAGCUAAUGUCGAUUAGUUUUUCUUAAAGAACUUUAGCCUUUUGUCAAAAUGUGAUAUAGCUAAUAAGAUUUUCUGAUCGUCCCACUCAUUGCCUUAGCAUACGUCACUGAUUGAUUCCAAAUUGAAAUGGUUGUGUUAAUUGCUGUGUCGUACCAUUAGUUGGAUAAAAUCCUGCCGACACAUCUCUUGAGUCACAAUGUAUGAGCGGCGUUUGUGCGGCCACUUCCGCCCGGCUUGAGUCCGUGGGAAAGGUCGGGGCUGCACUCUGUGUUUGAUGAGGCCCAGAGUUGGGUCCAUACUGAAGUGUUUGCAGCUGAAGUUAGGCUUGUCAUCGGUUUACAUGUAACGUAGCCGUGUGUUGGGGUUCAUGUUGUAUUUGGAAAAUGGGUGAUCAUAUAUUUUGUUACUGGAUAGCGGUAGCCAACAUUCGUUUAGCUCGCUAAUUGGCUAGCCAGCUUACCAUCUAAAUCGGUUUGGUUGGUGCCGGGUCAAGUUGGUUAGCUAGAGUUUUUGUUUGCUAUACUAACGACGUUGGUUGGUUCGAUGGGCAGAGAGCGACAGAGAGCAUGUGACGUGAAAUGAACAUUUUAAUGAGGUGACUUUGGCUAGUUACUGGCUAAUAUUCAAAAUAUUACUUGCAAGCAAUCUGCACAUAGCGAAGUUGUCAAGACCUACUGUACAUAUGGUGUAAAUAACUUAAGUAGCCACAAAAGUUAAAAGAACAAUUGCAUUAAAGGGUAGACACCAGUCUCUGAUGUGUUUAUACAACUGACUGAACGAAUUAGCCGGCUAUUCAAAGGAAGUUUAAAUAAUUUGUCUCCAUGGAAAUUUUGGAAGCUACGCCGACCAAAGCAAGGAGGGAGGAAUGGCUACUUUUGCAUCAGCUUUGCGCUGUAACGUUACUAUAAAUGAGAUUUAGUUUCGAAUGGUGAUUUUAAUAUUAAUUGAAUAACGUGACUACAUUUUUCUCAAAUGAAACGUGAUGCUUCAGAGAUAUGUGGGAAAAGUCUACCUUAUUUUGGACCAGUGUAUGAAUUAAUACUGUACUGUAUAUAUCUUUUGAAUAUUCAGGCAGUUCUUAAGGUUUGUUUCUUGAAAAGCUUCAUGAUUUUUCUUUCAAUCAUAACUGUUGUUGUUUCAGAGGGCAGUAUGUGAUUGUGCCACGUGUGGCGACCAAACCCAAGCACGGAAUUUCAGCAUCAGGGCUUCAAUUUGUUUCAAGGAUAGCAGGGGUUUCUAGUGCAAAUGUAUGUACCUCCAGCUCUUUCUACAUCAGAAUCAUGUUGGUGGGUAUUUGAAAUCCUACAUAGCUGACAAUCUCAUUUAACUUACCUGUCCUGCCCCAGGUUUUUGAGUUUUAGCACCUCCUAGUGGUGGUUUGUUUGAACAGGAAGUAACCUGUCUGUACAGGAAGUAGUUUUCAUGUGAAAGCACGGGCUGCAUCUGAAUAGUCAAAAAACUCACAUCCUAUGUCUUUUCCUAACCACUUUUCCUUGACCUCGAUGGAAAACGUCAUGAGGUCAAGGAAAGAUGUGAAGGAGAAUUCAUAAGGAUUUAGGAAAAGACAACCGCGGUGUUAAGAGAAUCCGACUGCGCUUACACUAGGCUACGUAAUUAUGCGACGGCAGAUGUUAUUGACUUGGGUCUGCAGUGGUGAAACUACAAUGUUCCGAAGAUGGACUACUAAAAGCGCAUCUUAGAUACUUUGUCCCGUGCGUUCUUAUCCUGUUGUUUCGUGCAGGCUAUAUAAACGUGGGCAACCCGGUGAAGAAUAUUACUUCAUUAGGUUGGAAUUGAAAUAAAAAAUAAAAAAGGAAUAUAGGCUACCAGUCACAAGUGAAAUGAAAUGGUUGUCACAUUGAGAGUGGUUGCUCACGCUCACUCUCCUGUCCACUCAUAUUUGUCGACAUGAAUCCCAAUUAGUAUGAUUGUAUGAAAUUAAUUGUUAAAUUGAAUGCAAGAUAGGCAUAACAUGUUAGGCCUACAAAUCUACUACUGUACAUAUCAUCAUUCUUAAGUUUCAAACAUGUUGAAUUAAAAGCAUCAUCUGGCUAAAAACAUCUUGUAUCCUUUUUUCUUGAAAGACAGACUUCUGUGUUAUGGUUAAUAUGCUGAUUAUGAUCUGAUUGUGAGCCUAUGCAUAUAUUAGCUUAAGAACCACCACACAACUCAGUCAUGUUGAUCAUUUGUUUUUGUGAACAGCCAAAUGGUGCGUCGCUUUAAAUGUUGCUGCUGCAAGGAAAUGUGGGAUGGAAUUAUCUCCUUUCCUUUCGUAAAGGACGGUCCAGUGUGUCCUAUGCUAAAGGAGAUAAGAAAGGAAGCAUUGAAGCACCUUUCCUUAGCAUUUAGAGAAUUUGACCAGCUCUUAUCAUGGCUGCCACUUAGACACUUCCGGGUCAUUUCACUCAGUUAGAAACCUUCCUAAGCAAAACAGACUAUUCGGAUGCAGCCGUAUAUAUAUAUAUAUAUCCAUCCUUUCUUUUAAGCUUGUGAAAGCAUCAUCUUUUCACUCUUGAUUCAUGAAUGCAUCUACAACGGCAUCUUAUUAAAAGCACAACUAAGAUGA